AUGCACCUCUAGUCUUGCACAAAUGCAGCAAACAGAAGGGGCAUAACGCAGCUGGGAUGCUGGCACGUAAUGCUUUUAACUUUCCAGCUUCACCAAGGAGGUGGGUAGCAUGAGGUUGAAGGAGCCAGGCCACCUAGGCAGUUCUGUAGGAGGGAGAAUGUUCUUGGGAACACGGUGCUGGAACAGCUGCUAAGUGCAGCUGCCCACUCCUGCCUCCUUUUUACAGCCAGGGUUUAUUAUUAUUAUUAUUAUUUUUUUAAAUUUCAGUUUAACAUCCAAAGGCAUUUGCACCUGCACUUUGCCAAGAUGCUUAUCCUGUUAGCCUUCUUUCAAUUUUUUAAGAUUUAAAAUUUUUUUAAAGUAAUCUCCAUACCCAAUGUGGGGCUCAGACAUUGAGAUCGAGAGUCACGCUCCACCGACUUAUCCAGUCAGGUGUCCCUGACCUUCAUUUUUUAAUUUUUUUUUUUUUUUUUUUUUUUUUUAAUGAUAGUCACACACAGAGAGAGAGAGAGGCAGAGACACAGGCAGAGGGAGAAGCAGGCUCCAUGCACCGGGAGCCCGACGUGGGAUUCGAUCCCGGGUCUCCAGGAUCGCGCCCCGGGCCAAAGGCAGGCGCCAAACCACUGCGCCAUCCAGGGAUCCCCUGACCUUCAUUUUUUAUUUAAGUGAAUUUUUUAAUGAGCUAUAACUCCUAUAGCAUGAACGUAUCCUUUCAAAGUGCACAAUUCAGUGGUUUUAGUACAUCCACAAAGUUGGCCGGCACUACCUAAUUUCACAUUUUCAUCAAUCCCUAAAGGAAUCCCACUCCCCCGGCAAUCGCUAACCUAUCUUCCACCUCUAUGGAUCUGCCUGUUCUGCACAUCUCAUAUGAACGCAAGCCAACAAUACGUGGCCUUCUUUGCCUGGUUUUCCCAGGACCACCGCAUUUGCAGGGUUCAUCUGUGUCCUGGCAGGUGCCGACAGGUCGGCCACCCUUAACUGGCUGAGGACCGCCCCCUCGCACACAGUCGCCCCCUUUCCCGGUUCAUCAGCUGGCGGCCAGUGGGGUGGUUUCUGUUUCGUGACUCCAAGGGCAGCGCCAGGAGUGUGUGUGGCUGCAGAGGGCGGGAGGCGGGCAGCGGAACCGCGGCGCGCCGUGUGUGGGAGCUCCCGCGGCCUUCGGCGUAGGACGCCCCUGGCCCGCCUGCUCCCCACCUUGUUCCCCCGCCCCGUUCCCUGGGUCGUGGAGAGCGUGCGCACUCGGGGGCUCACCCACAUUUCGCCGCUUAAGAGCGCCCCGGGUCCCGGGGCGCCCGGGCGCGGUCGCGGAAU
rnacentral:lncRNA from 12 species